rnacentral:rRNA from 1 species
UGGGGAAUAUUGCACAAUGGACGGAAGUUUGAUGCAGCGACGCCGCGUGGAGGGUGUAGGCCUUCGGGUUGUGAACUCCUUUUUCUCGCGAAAAAGGCACAGUUUUGGCUGUGUUGAUGGUAGUGGGGGAAGAAGCGCCGGCUAACUACGUGCCAGCAGCCGCGGUAAUACGUAGGGCGCGAGCGUUGUCCGGAUUUAUUGGGCGUAAAGAGCUCGUAGGUGGUUCGUCGCGUCUGUCGUGAAAGCCAGCAGCUUAACUGUUGGUCUGCGGUAGGUACGGGCGGGCUUGAAUGCGGUAGGGGUGAGUGGAAUUCCUGGUGUAGCGGUGGAAUGCGCAGAUAUCAGGAGGAACACCGAUGGCGAAGGCAGGUCACUGGGCCGUUACUGACACUGAGGAGCGAAAGCGUGGGGAGCGAACAGG